rnacentral:ncRNA from 1 species
AUACCGAAAGGGCAAUCUCCUACUCUAAGGGGAGCGCAAAGCCAUGGUCAUCCGAAAUACCUCGGGAAUGAUAGACUGGCUGCCGAA